UCCUACGGGGCGCAGCAGUGAGGAAUAUUUGUCAAUUGUAUAUAUCCUGAACCAGCCAAGCCGCGUGAGGGAAGACGGCCCUAUGGGUUGUAAACCUCUUUUGUCGGAGAACAAAACCCGGGACGUGUCCCGGACUGCGUGUAUCCGAAGAAAAAGCAUCGGCUAACUCCGUGCCAGCAGCCGCGGUAAUACGGGGGAUGCGAGCGUUAUCCGGAUUUAUUGGGUUUAAAGGGUGCGUAAGCGGUCCGUUAAGUCAGCG
rnacentral:rRNA from 1 species